CGCCCUUUGCCUCACAAUGGUUUGAUCCACUGCCAGUUCUUUAGCUGGCAAGGUAAUAGAGGGCUCGUAUCUACUGUCCGAAAGGCACUCAAUGUACGUAACUGACGUGAGGCAGAGCAGGCAACAGAUGGCACACAGACAGCAGAGCUGGGGACAGAUAUGCAGGGACAGACUGGCAGAGACAGGGAGUCUCAGGAGACAGACUGUGAGUCAGUGAGGGUGGUGAAAGGGAAAGAGCCAAGGAGAGAGACUUGAGGACAGUGUCACAGCCACGGCAGGACCAGGUGUCACCCUUGUUGCCAGCAGCACCAGUAUAGGGGACAGUGGCACAGCAUCGUCCAGUUACCUCAGUGAUGACACAAAACCAUAUCAGCCACACCCACAAUUUAUAGAACCGCAAACUCUUGCAAACGUUUCAAGAGAGAGGAACACUGCACUGAUAAGGAACAUUGCUAUAACUAUUAUUAUUAGUAGUAUUAUAAUGAUUUAAACAAGUUGGGACAACCCUUCAGUUAACUACUGUACCUAACAAUUAUCCAGUAGUAGUGAUUAUGGUCCCUCAAUAUACCUUUAACAUAUUACAACAUAGUCUAUGUGUUACAGCACUACUUUUGGUGUCCCCCUCAGGAAUUGCUCCUGAGAAAAUUUCAUGUAAUUGUCCCCUCCAAGGUUGAUAUCAGAUUUUCGC